GACGAACGCUGGCGGCGUGCUUAACACAUGCAAGUCGAACGGAAAGGCCCUGCUUUUGUGGGGUGCUCGAGUGGCGAACGGGUGAGUAACACGUGAGUAACCUGCCCUUGACUUUGGGAUAACUUCAGGAAACUGGGGCUAAUACCGGAUAGGAGCUCCUGCUGCAUGGUGGGGGUUGGAAAGUUUCGGCGGUUGGGGAUGGACUCGCGGCUUAUCAGCUUGUUGGUGGGGUAGUGGCUUACCAAGGCUUUGACGGGUAGCCGGCCUGGGAGGGUGACCGGCCACAUUGGGACUGAGAUCCGGCCCAGACUCCUACGGGAGGCAGCAGUGGGGAAUAUUGCACAAUGGGCGGAAGCCUGAUGCAGCAACGCCGCGUGCGGGAUGACGGCCUUCGGGUUGUAAACCGCUUUCGCCUGUGACGAAGCGUGAGUGACGGUAAUGGGUAAAGAAGCACCGGCUAACUACGUG
rnacentral:rRNA from 1 species